GGGUUGGGCUGUUCGCCCAUUAAAGCGGUACGCGAGCUGGGUUCAGAACGUCGUGAGACAGUUCGGUCCCUAUCCGUCGCGGGCGCAGGAAAUUUGAGAGGAGCUGUCCUUAGUACGAGAGGACCGGGAUGGACGUUCCGCUGGUGUACCAGUUGUGCCGCCAGGCGCAUCGCUGGGUAGCUAUGAACGGAAGGGAUAAACGCUGAAAGCAUCUAAGUGUGAAGCCCCCCUCGAGAUGAGAUUUCCCAUUCCUAUAUGGAAGUAAGACCCCUGAAAGAUGAUCAGGUAGAUAGGCUGGAAGUGGAAGUGCAGCGAUGCAUGGAGCGGACCAGUACUAAUCGGUCGAGGACUUAACCAAG
rnacentral:rRNA from 2 species